GGCUCGGUGGUCUGAGUGGUCGAAGGCACUUCCCUGGCACGGGAUAUUAUCGAAAGAUAGCGCCGUGAGUUCGAAUCUCACCCGAGUCU
rnacentral:tRNA from 1 species